AGAGUUUGAUCCUGGCUCAGGACGAACGCUGGCGGCGCGCCUAACACAUGCAAGUCGAACGAGCGAGAGAGAGCUUGCUUUCUCAAGCGAGUGGCGAACGGGUGAGUAACGCGUGAGGAACCUGCCUCAAAGAGGGGGACAACAGUUGGAAACGACUGCUAAUACCGCAUAAGCCCACGACCCGGCAUCGGGUAGAGGGAAAAGGAGCAAUCCGCUUUGAGAUGGCCUCGCGUCCGAUUAGCUAGUUGGUGAGGUAAUGGCCCACCAAGGCGACGAUCGGUAGCCGGACUGAGAGGUUGAACGGCCACAUUGGGACUGAGACACGGCCCAGACCUCCGUACGGGAGGCA
rnacentral:rRNA from 1 species